rnacentral:lncRNA from 1 species
AAGCCCCGCAAUACCAAGACUGUUUCGAUGCCCAAAAGUUUUUCACCUCCAACAGUAUGCCAAUUCAUUUAACAAGCAUUUACUGAACUUACUCUCCUUGUGACCAGUGUUCAGCAAUUGUUUACAGGAUAUUGAUCAUUUGGAUUCUAAUUCUGACUCAAGUUGUCCUCAUCUAUUUACCUAUUAGUGGGUUCCUGAAUACCUUGUGAGUACAUAUGUUGGCAAUUGGGCUGAUAUUUGGCCUAUUUUGUUUAACAACUUAAAUGGAAAUGGACAAAACACUGCCUAAACUAUGAGCAACAGAACUUAUGGAACGUUUAGAACUAAACUGCUACCUAUAAUUCAACAAUUUACAUCCUUCCUGUUGAUAAACAUAUUCAUUUAAAGCUCUACACACAUCUACUACUAAUUGAACACCAAGCAACUAGUGUUUAACUUUUUACUUCUAUACAAAUCUGAGGGAAGGAAUAGUCCUCAUAUAGUCCGGAUACAAAUCAAAAUGAUUCAAAUCAAUAGAAGUAGUCUAAAUUUAAUUACAGUGAACACUCUAUCAUACACUACAACAAACCACUUAAUAGAACAACAUUAUCAACAUAAUGGAACUACAACAGCUAUUCAACUUCAGUUUCAUUUCAUGAUUUCAACAGAUCGAUCUACAUCAGCACAGGCUCAGAAUAUGUACCUGGAUAAGAGAUUACAAUGACGAAAAGUGGGAGUCAGUUGAGGCAAGAAGAAACACAGCACCAAUUGAGUUCAAACAGCACAAAAUUAUGCCAAAUUUCGACCCAGAAAUAGAUAUAGAGUGCAGCAAUGUUUUGAAAUCAAAAUAGAACCAUUAGAUCAACUAAAAAUCAGCUUGAAUAACCCAUAACCAAUCGAAACCCUCAGUGAAUCACUAAAGCAUCAGAACUCAAAUAUUGGACUAAAAAACUGGAAAUCAAUCACUAAAAAUUGAAAUCAACUUGAAUUCCCUGAUAGAACAGUUCUCUCUAUGUGUAUAUAUAUAUAUAUAUAUAUAUAUAUAUAUAUACACACAUAUAAUAGAGUGUUUUUGAAGGAUUUUCUACUGUUUUUGUUGGGUUUUUUUUUCUUGAAGAAGCUAAGACCUAAGGGAAUUUCAGAUCUGGAAGCUUGGAGAGUAUUUUUGGGGAGGAAUUUUAGGUUGCCAAACUUGUUGAUUAAGGCAUGGGAAUGCCCCUUUUAUAAGCAUCAAUCAGCCUUCACAGAUUUUCUUUCUUUUCAUUUCAAUCCCUUUUUGUUUUCAGUUUAUUCCUCUUAUUCAUGACUUGUUUCCCAAGUGAUUUAUUUU